CCCUUAGAUGUUCUGGGCCGCACGCGCGCUACACUGAUGCAUUCAACGAGUUUCUUCCUGGUCCGAGAGGAAUGGGUAACCUUUUGAAAGUGCAUCGUGAUAGGGAUAGACUAUUGCAAUUAUUGGUCUUCAACGAGGAAUUCCUAGUAGACGUAGUUCAUCAGACUGCAUCGAUUACGUCCCUGCCCUUUGUACACACCGCCCGUCGCUCCUACCGAUUGAAUGCUCAGGUGAGCCAUUCGGACUUUCAUCAUGCUGGUUUCCCGUUUUGAUGAAGGAAAGUCUUGCGAACCUUAUCAUUUAGAGGAAGGAGAAGUCGUAACA
rnacentral:rRNA from 1 species